rnacentral:rRNA from 1 species
UACGGAGGGGGCUAGCGUUGUUCGGAAUUACUGGGCGUAAAGCGCACGUAGGCGGCUUUGUAAGUUAGAGGUGAAAGCCCGGAGCUCAACUCCGGAAUUGCCUUUAAGACUGCAUCGCUAGAAUUGUGGAGAGGUAAGUGGAAUUCCGAGUGUAGAGGUGAAAUUCGUAGAUAUUCGGAGGAACACCAGUGGCGAAGGCGGCCAACUGGAUCGGUAUUGACGCUCAUGUACGAAAGCGUGGGGA